GGGUUAGAUGCAUAUAAAAGAGCAAGCUGACCAUCCAUCUAAAUCUAUUUAGCUACUCCGCCGCUUUUCUCAUUUCCUUAGAUCUUAAACACCAUCCAGAGGAGGGAAAGGGUGAAUCUUCUGAGGCAACCAGCAUGAGGGCUAAGUGGAAGAAGAAGCGUAUGAGGAGGUUGAAGAAGAAGAGACGAAAGAUGAGACAGCGAUCUAAGUAGUUUCGUAACCUGUUUUUGUCUCUUUACCGACAUUUGUGAGAGUUUUGUUGGUUUUCUAUCUGAAUUUUAAUGUUUUUGUUGGACCAAGCUAUGAUUUCAAUCAGAAUACUUAUCUUUAUUA